rnacentral:siRNA from 1 species
ACUCGCGACCCAGUGAACCGGUUG